GCGAAAACGAGAUGGCAGAGAGGCCGGGGUCUCGGCACCGCUCGCUGUAUAAACUGAUGGGCUCGCCGCCUUGGAAAGAGGCUUUCAGGCAGGGAUGCCUGGAGAGAAUGAGAAACAGCCGGGACAGGCUCCUGAGCAAAUACCGCCAGGCUGGAGGCAGUAUGUCAGGAGGCGCUCAGAACACCCUUCUAGUGCAGGAGGUGAUGGAAGAAGAGUGGAAUGCUUUGCAGUCGGUGGAGAGCUGGCCACAGGCCUGGGCUCAGUUGGAGGAGCCGAUGGACCUGGCUGUGCUGGAGGAAAUCCAGCAGGAGCUGAUUGAUCAAGAACAGUCCAUCAUCAGUGAGUACGAGAAGAGCUUGCAGUUUGAUGAACAGUGUCUCAGUGUCAUGCUUGCUGAGUGGGAAGCAAACCCCCUCAUCUGUCCCGUGUGUACAAAGUACAACCUGAGGGUAGCAAGCGGACUGGUCGUGUGUCAGUGUGGCCUGUACAUCCAGUCUCAUUCUCCGGAGAUGACAGAGCAAAAGCUUCGUGCCUGUUUAGAAGACAGUGUCAAUGAGCACAGUGCACAUUGUCCCCACACGCCAGAAUUUUCAGUCACUGAGGGGACAGAGGAGAAGUCAUGUCUUCUCAUGAGCUGUCUGGCUUGUGAUACUUGGGCUGUGAUCCUCUAGAGUCGGUCCCAGUCUUGAAGCAUGAUCUACUGUGUUGGAAGAAAGUCCCAUCUUGAGAAGUGGCCUUGGCACCUUCCAGUGGUGGUGAGCGGCUGAGAAGCUGUGGGCAUGGGCUAGAAGCCUCCUCUAAAACAAUAAAUGUACUUGGCUGCACAGGGUCUUGGU